UACGUAGGGGGCAAGCGUUGUCCGGAUUUAUUGGGCGUAAAGAGCGUGUAGGCGGCCAAGCAGGUCAGCUGUGAAAACUCGAGGCUCAACCUCGAGACGUCGGUUGAAACCGCUUGGCUAGAGUCCGGAAGAGGAGAGUGGAAUUCCCGGUGUAGCGGUGAAAUGCGCAGAUAUCGGGAAGAACACCCGUGGCGAAGGCGGCUCUCUGGGACGGUACUGACGCUGAGACGCGAAAGCGUGGGGAGCGAACGAGGA
rnacentral:rRNA from 1 species